UACAGAGGUCUCAAGCGUUGUUCGGAUUCAUUGGGCGUAAAGGGUGCGUAGGCGGCGCGGUAAGUCGGGUGUGAAAUCUCGGAGCUUAACUCCGAAACUGCAUUCGAUACUGCCGUGCUUGAGGACUGGAGAGGAGACUGGAAUUUACGGUGUAGCGGUGAAAUGCGUAGAUAUCGGGAGGAACACCUGUGGCGAAGGCGGCCACCUGGUUGGAUACUGACGCUGAGCCGCGAAAGCGUGGGGAGCAAACAGG
rnacentral:rRNA from 1 species